rnacentral:lncRNA from 1 species
UCCACACUUGAACCAUAGGAUCAUCACUCAGCCCUUGGUGGACAGAAAAGCUUUAGCCUAGUUAAUAAAUUCCAGCCCCCCGGAAGAACUCCGGGGACCGCAAGCAGACCUACAACAUCCUGAGCACGCUGGGGCUGCGGCCCUCGGCCGCCGACUGCGACAUCGUGCGGCGCGCCUGCGAGAGCGUGUCCACGCGCGCCGCGCACAUGUGCUCGGCCGGGCUGGCGGGCGUCAUCAACCGCAUGCGCGAGAGCCGCGGCAUGGACGUGAUGCGCAUCACGGUGGGCGUGGACGGCUCGGUGUACAAGCUGCACCCCAGCUUCAAGGAGCGGUUCCACGCCAGCGUGCGCAGGCUGACGCCCAGCUGCGAGAUCACCUUCAUCGAGUCGGAGGAAGGCAGCGGCCGGGGUGCCGCGCUGGUCUCGGCCGUGGCCUGCAAGAAGGCCUGCAUGCUGGCCCAGUGAGAGCGGCGGCGGCGCGCGCGGGGCGGACCCGGCUCCACGGGGACGGCGCUCCCCACAGGGGCUCCAGCUCAGCCGGCCAAGGGGCCCGGGCUCGAGAGGACCCCAGAUGCUUCCCCACCCACUGUACCCCUGGAAUUGGGGAAGAGCCCUGGGGAUCGGAGCACAAGUCUGUUGGCAGAGUCGGUUGGAGGGACAGCCCCAGUGCCCGAGCACCCGGAGUUCUGGACUGGACCCGCGGGCAGUGGCACCGUCAGCCUCCACAGGCCAGCGCAGGAAGAACCCCUGCAGCAUUGCCACACCCCAGGGCUACCCAGGCCCCUCUCCAGAGCCACCCACCCUCUCCAUGCCCACCCUGGGACUGUGGGGUUUUUAAUUAAAAAUGCAAAAGAUGUGACCGUGGUCUGGCCACCGAUCUUUGUGCACAAGGGCCUGGGGACAGCGUGUGAAGAGACACUGCGCACCCUCGGACGCGCUGGCCGGCCCUGUGUGUCCCUCUGAGGCGUGUGAAGAGCGGCAGGCCAGCCGUCCCCCGCGUGGGCUCAGAGGUGCCGGCGGCCCUGCGGGCAGGAGGGGGAGCACCCGGCCAGGCGCUGCUCUGCUCAGCGGGGUCUGGCCCCUCAGAGCACUGAGGGGGGCUGGGAUCCAAAUCGUCACAAUUUCCAAGUCCCCGCGGAGGCUGCUGUGAGACACCAGGCACUGUCUUUUUUUUUUUUUUUUAAAUGAUUUAUUUAAUUUAAAAGGCAGAGUUAGAGAGAGAUCUUCCAUCCACUGAUUCACCCUCCAGAUGGCCACAAUGGCUGGGGCUGGGCCAGGUCAAAGCCAGGAACCAGGAACUUCUUCCGGGUCUCCCACAUGGGUGGCGGGGGCCUAAGCACUUGGGCCAUGCUCCACUGCCUUCCCAGGCGCUUUAGGGAAUUGGAUUGGAAGAGGAGCAGCCAGGACUCGAGCCAGCGCCCAUGAGGCGCUGGCAUCGCAGGCAGAGGCUUUACCCACUGCACCAGAGCGUGGGCCCCCCAAUGGCCAUCUCUAUGUUACGUUUUCCUCGUCCUGUUUUCUGGUAUUUCUCAUGUGGAAUUACUUGGAUUAUCUUCCUUCUUGGAGUCUCAGUCAUUUAAGUUGGUGCAAACAUCCGGUUAGCUCAUCAGGACGAAAUGUGCUCACAUUGGAACAUUCACAUAUCAGAACACAUUUUUAUGUCAAUGGCCAUUUCUUUCUCCUUUGUGUGACAGUCUGAGGCACCGUGUUGACCUGCAAAGAUUCAGGGGUGAGGGCCCACACUGAGGCACGUGGGUGAGCCCCUGCUUGUGACACCGGUAUCCCAUGUAUGGGGAGCGCCGGUUCAAGUCCCAGCUACUCUGCUUUCCAUCCAGCUUCCUG